UACGUAGGGUGCGAGCGUUAAUCGGAAUUACUGGGCGUAAAGCGUGCGCAGGCGGUUGUGCAAGACCGAUGUGAAAUCCCCGGGCUCAACCUGGGAACUGCAUUUGUGACUGCAAGGCUAGAGUACGGCAGAGGGGGAUGGAAUUCCGCGUGUAGCAGUGAAAUGCGUAGAUAUGCGGAGGAACACCAAUGGCGAAGGCAAUCCCCUGGGCCUGUACUGACGCUCAUGCACGAAAGCGUGGGGAGCAAACAGG
rnacentral:rRNA from 1 species